rnacentral:rRNA from 1 species
GAGCAAGCGUUGUUCGGAAUUACUGGGCGUAAAGAGUGUGUAGGUGGUGUCGUAAGUUUGGUGUGAAGUCUCCCGGCUUAACUGGGAGGGUGCGCCGAAGACUGCGAUGCUGGAGUAUGGGAGAGGAAAGCGGAAUUCCUGGUGUAGCGGUGAAAUGCGUAGAUAUCAGGAGGAACACCUGCGGUGUAGACGGCUUUCUGGACCAUUACUGACACUGAGACACGAAAGCGUGGGUAGCAAACAGG